CCUCCCUGAAGCCUGUACUCGGCAGGCCAAGCAAGCCAGGAAGGAGGAAGCAGGCAGAGUUCUCUGCAGCAGCAGCAGCAGCAGCAGACCCCCUGCCUAGACCAUCUAGCACAGCUUUGCCAGAUUUUUACCAUUCAACCAGAUCAAUAAUUCCAAAAUGACAUCAUACCCAAGAAAAGCAGAAGAUCUUUCUCAGAUUCAAAUUUACUAUUUAAAUUUACCAUAUACGGCCAUUAUUCAAUAAAAACUAUGCUUGAAGUUGAAA